rnacentral:rRNA from 1 species
AUUGAACGCUGGCGGCAGGCCUAACACAUGCAAGUCGAGCGGGGUUUUCGGACCUAGCGGCGGACGGGUGAGUAGUGCGUAGGAAGCUAACCGAAAGCGGGGGAUACCUGUGGGAAACGGCUGUGAAUACCGCAUAAAGUCUGCGUACCAAAGUAUGGGACCUUCGGGCCAUAUGCUAUCGGCCGCGCCUGCGUGGGAUUAGAUAGUUGGUGGGGUAAUGGCUCACCAAGGCGACGAGCCGUAGCUGGUUUGAGAGGAUGAUCAGCCACACUGGAACUGAGACACGGUCCAGACUCCUACGGGAGGCAGCAGUGGGGAAUAUUGCACAAUGGGCGCAAGCCUGAUGCAGCCAUGCCGCGUGUGGGAAGAAGGCCUUCGGGUUGUAAAGCGCUUUCAGCGAGGAGGAAGGCAGUAAGGUUAAUAACCUUGCUGAUUGACGUUACUCGCAGAAGGAGCACCGGCUAACUCCGUGCCAGCCGCCGCCGUAAUAC